UUACAGGAUGGGUCUCUCGGAGAAGGACAUAGUGGCCUUAUCAGGGGCUCAUACACUGGGAAGGGCACACCAGGAAAGAUCUGGAUUUGAUGGUCCUUGGACUCAGGAACCCCUUAAGUUUGAUAAUUCCUAUUUUGUCGAGUUGUUGAAAGGGGAAGCAUAGGGGCUGCUGAAACUGCCAACUGACAAGGCAUUGCUGGAAAAUCCUGCAUU